rnacentral:rRNA from 1 species
UACGGAGGAUGCAAGCGUUAUCCGGAAUGAUUGGGCGUAAAGCGUCCGCAGGUGGCUAUGUAAGUCUGCUGUUAAAGAGUGAGGCUCAACCUCAUAAGAGCAGUGGAAACUACAUGGCUAGAGUGCGUUCGGGGCAGAGGGAGUUCCUGGUGUAGCGGUGAAAUGCGUAGAUAUCAGGAAGAACACCGGUGGCGAAAGCGCUCUGCUAGGCCGCAACUGACACUGAGGGACGAAAGCUAGGGGAGCGAAUGGG